CAGACAUCUUGGAGAAAGAAGACCAAGAUCGUCCAGUUCAAAAUAUGGAUCCAAGUAUGCUGAUAUAUUUGGAAGAUUUACUGGUCAAAUCAAGGAUGAAGUGACAGUGGAAUCUUCAAAAGAAUGUGGGGGCUCUCAUGAGAAGUGUAUAAAAUGUGUCUUGCCUCUGAGGGCCGUGGGACAUUGAUAAAGCGUUUCAGCACAUCAGGCUUGGAUGGAAGAGUCAUCAUAUGGGAUUUGGAGAAGCAGGGAGACCUUGCUGAAUACAUUUUAGGUCCCCUUUAAAUUUGCCGAGUUGAGCAUUAUACAUUUUUAGGGUAUUCUUUUGAGAAGGUGGACUUGGGCUUUUCUGGCUCUUAGGUUGCAAUCUUUGCUUAGAGUUUUGU